GGGUCGUUAGCUCAGUUGGUAGAGGCAGUUGACUUUUUAAUCAAUUGGUCGCGGGUUCAGAUCACACGACCCCACCAAUUUAACAUCAAACUCAGAUGUUGUUGAACGUGAAGGAUAACGUUGCGUCAGCAACGGCCCGAAACGAGGCGGCUCGAGUCAUCCUGCACGACCCACCA
rnacentral:tRNA from 1 species